rnacentral:rRNA from 1 species
GACGAACGCUGGCGGCGUGCCUAAUACAUGCAAGUCGAACGCUGAAGCUUGGUGCUUGCACCGAGCGGAUGAGUUGCGAACGGGUGAGUAACGCGUAGGUAACCUGCCUGGUAGCGGGGGAUAACUAUUGGAAACGAUAGCUAAUACCGCAUAAGAGUAGAUGUUGCAUGACAUUUGCUUAAAAGGUGCAAUUGCAUCACUACCAGAUGGACCUGCGUUGUAUUAGCUAGUUGGUGAGGUAACGGCUCACCAAGGCAACGAUACAUAGCCGACCUGAGAGGGUGAUCGGCCACACUGGGACUGAGACACGGCCCAGACUCCUACGGGAGGCAGCAGUAGGGAAUCUUCGGCAAUGGACGGAAGUCUGACCGAGCAACGCCGCGCGAGUGAAGAAGGUUUUCGGAUCGUAAAGCUCUGUUGUAAGAGAAGAACGAGUGUGAGAGUGGAAAGUUCACACUGUGACGGUAUCUUACCAGAAAGGGACGGCUAACUACGUG